GAUGAACGCUAGCGGCAGGCUUCAUACAUGCAAGUCGAGGGGCAGCAUAAAUUACUUGUAAUUUGAUGGCGACCGGCGAACGGGUGCGUAACGCGUAUGCAACUUACCUUUUACUAGAGAAUAGCCAAGAGAAAUUUUGAUUAAUGCUCUAUACACUUAUUAAUUCACAUGAAUCUAUAAGAAAAGCUCCGGCGGUAAAAGAUGGGCAUGCGUCCUAUUAGCUUGUAGGUGAGGUAAUGGCUCACCUAAGCUCCGAUAGGUAGGGGUCCUGAGAGGGAGAUCCCCCACACUGGUACUGAGACACGGACCAGACUUCUACGGAAGGCAGCAGUAAGGAAUAUUGGACAAUGGAGGCAACUCUGAACCAGCCAUGCCGCGUGAAGGAUGACGGCCCUAUGGGUUGUAAACUUCUUUUAUAUGGGAAGAAACUUAUCUACGUGUAGAUAACUGACGGUACCAUACGAAUAAGGAUCGGCUAACUCCGUGCCAGCCGCCGCAGUAAUAC
rnacentral:rRNA from 1 species